rnacentral:rRNA from 1 species
GACGAACGCUGGCGGCGUGCCUAAUACAUGCAAGUAGAACGCACAGUUUAUACCGUAGCUUGCUACACCAUAGACUGUGAGUUGCGAACGGGUGAGUAACGCGUAGGUAACCUGCCUGGUAGCGGGGGAUAACUAUUGGAAACGAUAGCUAAUACCGCAUAAUAUUGAUUAUUGCAUGAUAAUUAAUUGAAAGGUGCAAUUGCACCACUACCAGAUGGACCUGCGUUGUAUUAGCUAGUAGGUGAGGUAACGGCUCACCUAGGCGACGAUACAUAGCCGACCUGAGAGGGUGAUCGGCCACACUGGGACUGGGACACGGCCCAGACUCCUACGGGAGGCAGCAGUAGGGAAUCUUCGGCAAUGGACGAAAGUCUGACCGAGCAACGCCGCGGGAGUGAAGAAGGUUUUCGGAUCGUAAAGCUCUGUUGUAAGAGAAGAACGGGUGUGAGAGUGGAAAGUUCACACUGUGACGGUAUCUUACCAGAAAGGGACGGCUAACUACGUG